GCCAUGCAAAUGCUGGGCCGCGGAUCCAGGAAGUGGAGAGAGAGAGAGAGGAGAGGGUCAGCGGCCAGCAUUACUCAGAGAAGGUGAUCCAGCUGUCGGUGCUACAAGUUGAUUACAGACAGAUCGCCUUCUGCGAUCACAUCCACCAACAUGGGAGCCACAGCCAGCCACCUCGGGAAGGACCUGCUGUCGGAGUACCAAGAGUUGACGUUUCUGACCAAGCAGGAGAUUCUUCUUGCCCACAAGCGGUUCACUGAACUGCUGUCCAGAGAGGAUAAAAACCUUCCAGACCCCAGGGCUCCGACAGAGGCCAUCCUCACGCUGCCCGAGCUCAAGUCCAACCCUUUCCGAGAGAGGAUUGUCCGUGUGUUCUCGACGUCUGAGUCAAGGGACGGUCUGACCUUUGAGGACUUCCUGGACCUUCUGAGUGCCUUCAGUGACUCGGCCACCCUGGAGAUCAAGUCCCACUACGCCUUCCGGAUCUUUGAUUUUGACGAUGACGGCACUCUGGACGAAAACGACCUGGAGAAGCUGGUGAACUGCCUCACCGGGGAGACAGACGAAACCCGGCUCACCCCGGACGAGAUGAAGCAGCUCAUUAGCAAUGUGAGUUAAUUGAGGCUCAAACUACCAAGCUCAUUAACCAGAUCCUGGAGGAGUCUGACAUCGACAAGGACGGCACGGUGAACCUCUCCGAGUUCCAGCAUGUUAUUUCCAGAUCGCCAGAUUUUGUCAGUUCUUUCAAGAUUGUGCUGUGAAGAUGUGAAAGAGCUUUGGAAACAGAUCUACUGUGUGAUUCUAAUUCUAUACUUGCUCCUUUUCGAUAAUGUUAGGCAGUUUUUAAACAUGCAAAUACUUAAUUUAUUUUUCUGUGAUUUUUUUACUGUACAAUGUUGUGCAAUGCAAAGAUCUUUUUUAUCGUUCUAUUUUUAACCGUUACUUAUCAAACUAAUAAUAAACUUGUGUAUUAAAGUUCCCUCAACAAUG